UGCAGAGGUCCCAAGCGUUGUUCGGAAUCACUGGGCUUAAAGGGCGCGUAGGCGGCUUGCCAAGUCCGGGGUGAAAGCCUCCAGCUCAACUGGAGAAGUGCCUUGGAUACUGGCGAGCUAGAGUGAGGUAGGGGCGGGUGGAACUUCCGGUGGAGCGGUGAAAUGCGUUGAUAUCGGAAGGAACGCCGGUGGCGAAAGCGACCCGCUGGACCUCUUCUGACGCUGAGGCGCGAAAGCUAGGGGAGCGAACGGG
rnacentral:rRNA from 1 species